rnacentral:rRNA from 1 species
UACGUAGGGUGCGAGCGUUAAUCGGAAUUACUGGGCGUAAAGCGUGCGUAGGCGGUUUUCCAAGUCCGUUGUGAAAGCCCCGGGCUCAACCUGGGAAUGGCAGUGGAAACUGGGGGGCUGGAGUCUGGCAGAGGGGAGUGGAAUGCCGCGUGUAGCAGUGAAAUGCGUAGAGAUGCGGAGGAACACCGAUGGCGAAGGCAGCCCGCUGGGCUGAGACUGACGCUCAGGCACGAAAGCGUGGGGAGCAAACAGG